rnacentral:rRNA from 1 species
AGGAGGCAGCAGUGAGGAAUAUUGGUCAAUGGGCGGAAGCCUGAACCAGCCAAGUAGCGUGCAGGAUGACGGCCCUAUGGGUUGUAAACUGCUUUUAUACAGGAAUAAAGUUAGCCACGUGUGGUUAUUUGUAGGUACUGUAUGAAUAGGGACUGGCUAAUUCCGUGCCAGCAGCCGCGGUAAU